UAUGGCGAUAUCAUUUUGAAUCAGCGGUUCCCGUACAAUCACAAAGGUUAAGCAACGUCAAGCCUGUUCAGUACCUAGAUGGGUGAUCGCUUCGGAAUACCAGGUGCUGUAA